UGGAUAUGUGCAUCCCUUGUGAAAUCGUUGGGCUCAACCCAACGGCGUGCUGGGGACACGGCAUAUCUUGGGAGCGGGAGGAGCAAGAGGUAUUCGGGGGGGACCGGUAAAAUGGUAUAAUCCCUCGAAGACCACCGAUGGCGAAAGCAUCUUGCCAGAACGCGUCCGACAGUCAGGGACGAAAGCCAGGGGAGCGAACCGGAUUAGAUACCCGAGUAGUCCUGGCCGUAAACGCUGUGAGCUAGGCGUUGCACUACCCAAGAGGUUGUGCAGUGUCGAAGAGAAGUCAUUAAGCUCACCGCCUGGGGA
rnacentral:rRNA from 1 species